GGUUUUUAGGAAUUAUUAAAAAUCAGACCUGCUCAAUGCCUAAGUAAAUAGCCGCAGUAUCAUGACUGUGCUAAGGUAGCAUAAUCAUUAGUCUUUUAAUUUGAGACUGGUAUGAAGGGUUAGACUAGGUAACUUUGUCUCACAAUAAUAUUUUGAAUUUUAUAAUUUAGUAAAAAUGCUAAAAUUUGUGUCAGGGACGAGAAGACCCUAUCAAGCUUUACAGGUUUAAAUUAUUUAUCUUUGUAUGAUUUUAAUCUGUUUUACUGGGGCAGUAAAUAAAUACAAUAUUUUAUUUAUAUAUUAUGGAAUUUUACCUAGAGAAACCGGGAUAUUUCCUAAAUAAGAAUAAGUUACUGUAGGGAUAACAGCGUAAUUCUUUUUGAGAGUUCUUAUUAUCAUAAGAGUUUGCGACCUCGAUGUUGGAUUAAAACUCCUGACUCACGCAGUAGUGAGAUAAGGAAGUCUGUUCGACUUUUAAAGUUUUCCA
rnacentral:rRNA from 1 species